UUGAUAAAUUUUAGGAAGUUAAAACUCAUCUGCGGGGUAGGGGUAGACCGAAGAUAUACUGGACAGAAGUAAUUAGAUAUGACAUGGAGCAAUUACGGCUCACUGAGGACAUGACCCUUGAUAGGUAGGUUUGGAGGACGAGUAUUAGGGUAGAGGGCUAAGGGAUGUGGUUAAGUCAUAGGCUGGAGUUAGGAGAGUUUCGUGUAGCUUGGUUGGUAGGGCAAGGGUUGGGGGGAGGGUGUGUCUUUUGUUGGUUCAUGUACUUAUUUGAGGUUGUUGUAUCGUUGUUAUUUUAUCAUGUUGUAUGCUUGCGAUAUUUGAACACGGUCUCGGUCCUUUUCUUGAGCCCGGGGUCUAUCGAAAUCAAUCUCUCUACUUCUUCGGAUGUAGUGGUAUGGACUGCGUACAUUCUACCCUCCCCAGACCCCACUAUGUGGGAAUAUACUGUGUUUGUUGUUGUUGUAAAAUUCAUCCGCACUUAAAAGGAAAGCUUUCCAGAGAUCAUGAGUUUUUGUGAAUGAAAAAUGACAAGAGUAACAACAUUAAUGGCCCCAACACAAGGCCAAGAAUCUACAAAGCAUAUUAGGAAAUUCGAAGGCGUUCUUCAAAAUGAUACAAGAGUGAUGUGAUCAAUCAUCACUAGAUUCUUUUUCCUCUUCAGGGAAGUUCGUUGGAGCAGGGAUGCCUCAAUGGUUGAUUUUUUUUUUAUUAUUUUUUUUUGCGGGGAGGGGGUGGGGGGUNNNNNNNNNNNNNNNNNNNNNNNNNNNNNNNNNNNNNNNNNNNNNNNNNNNNNNNNNNNNNNNNNNNNNNNNNNNNNNNNNNNNNNNNNNNNNNNNNNNNNNNNNNNNNNNNNNNNNNNNNNNNNNNNNAAGUGCAGGGAAAAAAGAUUUAAGAAUGAAAUUAAAUAACUCCAUAUAUAAUUAGAUACUACUUUUUCCACCACAAUAUGUUGAACUUAAAUAAGUCUGAUAUUUGGCAAAAGUUCUGAUUCAUGUUUGACACUUGUAUUUAGUAUGGACAUACAUGAAGAUUCAUAGAUUACUAUAUUUUUGGAAACUAGUAACCACUAACUUGCUUUGAAAAGAUAAAUCAAUUGAAGUUGAAAUGAAAAUUGAUGCAGGUAGAUUGGAUAGGAUAUAGAGAAUCCAUAUAGCCAAAACAACAACUCUUGGAUUGAGGUAUAGUUGAAUUUUAGUUGACAAUAAUCUGAACACGGCAGUAUAGCAAACAAGAACAGGCCACAAUCUAGCAUCAAAACUAAUACUAAAAGUAAAAUUAAACUGAUCACUGUUUCUAGAAGAGUAGAGCCCAUUGUUUCUCUUCUUUUUUUUUGUCCAGCAGCACAUUGUUUCUCUGAUUUGACUGAAAUAAUCUUCUUACAUUAUGCCUUUUUCUGUAUAUUAGGCAACUGAGCUUCCCCUAACCCUAUAAAUGCAAAACACUGUGAUGAGUUGGCUACCAGCAGGAACAGCCCCUCACGUCUCCUUCUGAAGAUAAUUUUCUCUUAAAACUUGUAUCUAUUUUUAUAUAUCCCUCUUAUAAAUCCCUUUUCACCUUGAAAAUUGAACUCCAUAAAGAAAACUUGAAAUGAAGAUUCCAGUUCCAACAUCACUGACAUUAAUUCUCUCAUCCUAUAGUUAUUGAUUAAUUACAGUUUGUGGGAUGCGAAUAAAGACCUGGAUUCUAAGCAUCAUUUCUUUUUAUAUAUUAAUUAGAAGGUAAAACUAUUGAAUAGAAAAAUGGAACUUUCUUAAAUAACUAUAGGAUGAAGCUUUCACGGAAACCCAAAAAGGGUAUCAUGAAAGGUUAAAAGAGACUCGAAGUGUUUUGUUUCUAGGAACUUAAGUAACCCAGAACCAGAUUUUAUCUGAAGAGUAUCAGUUCCCCUGACGGUGAUCUCUUCAAGGAUGUGUACAUUAAAUUAGGAAUAUUUUUGCAGCAAAGCCAGAGUAUCGCAGAAAACUGAAAAGAAACACAAUGAGCUCCAUCUGUUCUGAAGUCCAGUAAUGUUGGUCACGCAGACUAUGAACGACAACUAAAUCAUACCAAUUUGGUAUGCAUUCGAUAUCUAUCGAACUUUCGUCUUCUUAUUUCUCAGCUUGGAACCAUUCAUUUACAACAGAAGUAGCUUGAUAAAUUUGGGCACAGAAUUGGAUGAGUUCACUGAGCAUAACAAUGGUUAGUCUGGUAUUCAAACUGAAAGGCUGAGAGACUACAAUAGAUAUUCUCAUAGUCCAACUCAUUGGUACACAUUGUGCAGUAUAGAGUAUAUUCUAGUUAUGCUCAGCUAAAAAAAGGCAGUUCGAUGCACAAAGCACCACGCGUUGGUAGAGCCUGGGGAAGUACAUUAGUGGCUGCUUCCACGGCUUGAACCCGUGACCUACUGGUCACACAAAGACAACAUUACCUCUGCUCCAAGGUUUCAUUAACUAUAUUUCAAGAACCCAUGUGUACAAUGUUAUGUCAUCUGCCUUCGUCCUCUACUAUUCCUACUUGGCUUCUUAGGAUAAUAAUAUAUUUAACUGUUCAACACUCCCUUUAACAACUAAAAACCAACUAAUUUCUUCAAAUCACUAUGUCCGAGUACUUUUCAGCCUACAACUACUGAAGAUAUUCAAGAUUACAUUAAUACAUUUCAGUCUAAGAUCACCCACAGGAUGUAAGAACGAGAUAAAGUCUAUAGGAGUAAUUUCAGAUAUAGGACUCCUAAUUUAGAGUUAACAAGUUAAAUAAGGGUAUGAAUAUCACAGAUCCUUCAACAUACACCAAAAGAAGCUUAGUAAAACUUGAACAACAGGUAUACAUAACCAUAUCCAGGUCCAUGUAAUACAGGCUCCUUCCCUUCGAUAUUCCCCUUUCUCUGUGUAACUUAAGAGAUCUAACUAGUGCAUAAACCAAUUAGCAUGAAAUCUUAUUCUAUUAACAACAACCAACACCUCACAUAACCUGCACCCAGCAGCAACUACAACAACAUAAACAGUGCAGUCUCACAAAAUGUGGUCUGGAGAGGGUAGUGGCAAAAGUCAUAAAUGAAAUAGAACUCUCUGUCUCAUUCCCCGCUAACCGUGAACAGAGUGAAAGGCUGGCCAAGAGUUUUUUAUAAGGGGUCUUUUUUCUAAAAUAUUCCCCGAGCUCACCUAUAUCCUAUUUCUCUUCUAAGGGUGAUCCUAUUCCUCAACUCACAAUAAGUAAGGUAGGGACAACUCAAACAGACCUCAGCUCUACCUCAGAUGUAGAGAGGUUAUUUCCGAUAGACCUACUGCUGAUAACCUGCACCUAGCAGCAAAAAGAUAGGUUCUUUCUCACUUUCAACUACCCCCAUCACCCCCACACACAAAAAACCCCAAACGCAAAAACCCCAUAAUUUCUAAGUUCUGUUUUUUUUAAUAACCAUGGUGUCCAGGCAAGCUUUCGCACACCUCGACUAAAUCCGCGGCUACCUGCCACCUCCCACCAGCAACAGUUUAUCCUUAUUUAUCUAUUAGUUUUCAGUUCUUAUCUUCAGCGCGGGGUAGAGCAGUUUGGUAGCUCGCAAGGCUCAUAACCUUGAGGUCACGGGUUCAAAUCCUGUCUCCGCAACAUCUUGUUUUUCCAAACUAUUUUAGGGUUGACUCUGGUAACUAGUAAUUAAUUCCCGCCUUUCGCUUUUUGGGGGUGGAAGGCAAAAGAAAACGUAGGGGAUAUCAGGUAACUCUGUCUAACAAGGGUCGGACAAAUGGGAAGAAUCAUCUAGUGUUGUUUGUCCAUAAUUUCGAAGUUGUAACUGAAUCAGAAGUUCAAAUUUAACAAAUUCCAAGAAUUAAACUGCUUAAAAAUACUGAAACUAUAAAAAAUAGCUUACCAACAAGAACCAAACUGAGCUUAGCACACUGCACAUUCAAAAAGAAAUCCAAAAAUUAAUUAAUUAAUUCUUCACAAAAUCAAAAAACUUGAGAAUAGUGAAGGAGAGGGCAAGAGCUACAUUGUAAAUUUGGAAAGCUUUGCCAACAGCGACAGUGACGAAGGUUUCAGUACCAAGUCUCUGUACAGAGAAAGGAACAUUGGUCGUAAUGUAACCAAUUGCUCUAAAUGGCUCGAAUAUCCCCAUUUUCUUUGCUCCACAAGAAAAUUGAAGAGCUUUGUAAAGAUUUAGGCUACUACUAUGCACAAGGGUUUAACAAGUGUAAGCUUUAAACCCUAAUUUGUUGCACACCCUCGACUGUGUGUAUUUGUGUGUUUCUCUUUUCGUAUUAUUUUUUGUUUUAUGUUUUACUCCGCUCGGUCCAACUUUACUUACCCACUUUUGAACUUAAAACGCAUCUCACAAACAAUAAAUAAUAGAACUAAUUUUACUACAUUAUCGUUUAAACAUAAUAAAAUAAAGAAUCGUUUGAUAGACAGGCCGGCUUCAAGGUGAAGUCAUCGAAGCAAGCGCUUUAGGUUUUUAAUUUUUGGAGACCUUAUUUUUUUAAAGCAUUAUAGGUUUGUAUUUUUUUUUAGAUUUUUUCUUUAGAAAAUAUCAAAUAUUUCUUAAUAUUUUUGUCACCAUAUUUUAAUUUCUCUUAAGUUCAAAUAAAAACAUCACUUUAGAAAUUCAAGAUUAAAGUUGACAAUCAACAUUAAAAAAUAUCUUUUAAUACUCUCAAAUCUAAAAAAAAAGUCUAAUAAAUAGAGGUAACUCAAAAAAUCAUAUCUUCUAUUUAUUAUUUUGAUUAAUGGGGCGAAAAGAAUCAAAGCAACAAUUACAAUUGAAUCAAAGAAGUUGAAAGAUAAGAUGUAUUUCGGUCAAAUAAAAAGAUUUUACUAUUUUAUGAGUGCAUUUUUUUUCUUAAUCUUAUGUAAUUGUCUUAGCUGAAAAAAGUUUUUUUUAAAAUAAAAUUUUAAAAAUAUUACUUAAGCUUAAAAAAUAAAUAUUUCAAGAGUUAUCAAAUGAAUUAAGCAUAGUAUUAAUUGAAAAGGAAUUUUUUCAGAUAAAUCAAUUACAAAACAAUUUUAUUUAUAAUUUUACACCUCAAAAAGCUAUAAAUAUAGAUUUGUAAAAAAAAUAUUCAAAACCUCAUUUUAAAAUUUCGCUUUAGGCCACCAAUUAUGUUGAGUCGCCCCUGUUGAUAGAAUACAUUAAAAAAUUAAUACAUACAUUAACUUUAUGUAUUAUUAAUAUCUUAUUUGAUACACAUUUUCAACCUACACUCUAUUGUGUAUUAUGUUAUUCAUAUUACAUUCUUGAUAUUAGCAACGAAAAGGACUUUAAUGCAUGCAUUAGCAAGAUAAAGACGCAAUAGUCCCUCAAAAACUUUUUCACAUUAUUUUCAUUAUAUUUGUGGAGGAUAUUUUUAUAAAUAAUUUUUUAUUAAAAAUAUGCAAUGCAAGUUAUUUUUAACAUGUCAAAUCAAACACAACAUAAAAAAUAAUUUUGACAUAAUUAAUGCAAACAUAAAUAAUAUAUCAUAAUUUGCACUAUUCUUCUACACCCUACAAAAUGAUUCUUAAUGUCUUGAAAAAUGCAUUAUGUACCGAAUAUAAUAUUUACUAAUAAAGAUAAAAAAUACACAAAUAAAUAAAUUAAGCACUAAUUUUUUGAAUUAGAUAUCUAUUUUAGUAACAUGGAUAAAUAAAAAUGGAUAAUGUAUUUAUGUUUUAAUAAAUGUAUAUUUUUUUAUGUUUAUUUGUUGAAAAGUUACUACUUUCGUUCAAUAAUACUUGUCUAUUAUUGUUUUAGCACAAAAAUUUAAAUAAUAUGAAUAAUUUUAUCAUAUUACUCUUUGAAUACAAUUAAUUCAGUAUUUUAAAAAAUAUACUAAAUAAUGACUAUACUUUAACCGUCGAUAAAAUAAAUAAAAAUAAAUAAAUUAUUUAUUAAUUUUUUAAAUUAAAAAAAUAUUACUAUAUAUAUUGUAGGAACCCCUACCUUGAACCCUUGGGGGAGGGUUGAGGGGGGCUUGCUUGAUUGUUUUUUUUUUGGUUAAAUAUGAUGUUUCAUAAGUAAUUUUUCCUUUCUUUUUUUUGUAUAGUUUUUUUUUUUUUUUUUUGGUUCUCACCCAUUGUUCAAUAUCCAUAUUGAAACUUUGAUUAAUUCAAUAUCCAUAUUGAAACUUUGACUAAUUCAAAUUGUGCAUUGUAUGGCCCAUUCUGGGGGUGACGCUCCCAACGAGAUUUUCUCCAUACCCAGGGCUCGAACCUGAGACCUCUGGUUAAGGGUGGAGAAGUCCCACCACUACACCACAGUCCAUGUUGGUGUAAAAUCGUUUAGAAUCUUAAACUUUGCUGUAAAAAUCAAACACCCCCUCAACUUUGAACAAUAAUCAUUUUCCUUCCUUUUUCCUAUUUGAUAUUUUUAAAUACGUAUUUUACCCUUAUAUUUAUAUCAACAUUUGUAUCUUUUUAAGAAAAAAAAAUUAUAAAAAUAGUUUUUUAUUUUUUAAUCUAUAUAACAUAUUUUAUAUAAAAGUUAAAAAAUAUUUUUAUCAAACCCACAUUUUAACUUUAUUAGUAAAUUCUUUUAUAAUUAAUUACAAAAUCUAAAGGUACUUUUUACAUUCAAAUUUUUUAUAUUAUCUAUAUUUAUAAUCUAUAUCUAUAAUAUUUUAAAAGUGUGAAGACCCUUAAAAAAGUGGUUAGAAUUUUUGUCCUUCAUUAAAAUACUCUGCCAUAGACAAAAUCGUCUUUUCACCUUUUUCCACCAAUUAUUAUUUAAUUAAAUUAAACACUCCUAAAAUAUAUAGCAAUAACAAUUCUAUGGUAAAAAAUAUUAGGAGAAUUAAAAUAUUUGAAUAUAUAUGAAAAGUCUAAUUAGCUAAGGAGAAUUAAUGCUACUUUAUAAAAACCCUAAAUUAAAAAUUAUGUCAAUUAAAGCAAAAAAAAAAAGUCCAUAAAAGUAUUCUUGAAUAGGAAUGCAAUGAUAUUGAAGAAGCUAUAUUUAUAUACAUAAUAAAAUAAGGAACAUAUUCAUAUAUACGACAAUAAUACUCAUGUUUUUAAAAUUCUUUUGAACAUUGCUAUUUUUAUUUAUUUUGUAAAAUAAAGUUUAUCCCAAAUAAAUUGCCUCCCUAAUUAAAUUGGAAAAAGAUUUGUAUAUGAUAUUAUAUAAAAGGCGGUGAAAAGUCCCAUAAUAAUUUCAAUUAAGAAAAGAAAUUCAACAAUGAGAAAAGUUUUUAUCAAAGUUAUUAGAUGUUCUUUAAUAAAUAUAAAUGGUAUAAGUCAUUAUUGCUUGAUUCUUUAAUAUUUUUGUGUGGAUGAAGAAAAAUUCAUGUGGAGAACGUGAUUGAGAUUUUGUGUCCAUUACAAGCGAGUUUGUAUUGAAUUUUAUUUCUAAUGCAUAAUAAUACUAUUUAUAUUGUUAAAGUUAAAUUAUUAGACGUUCUUCAACUAAUAUUCUUCUACGCUUUUAUUUAUAUGCAUUGUCUUUUUUUUUUGUCAGUUGGUGCUAAGAUUUGAUGUAUUUCUAAUGUCAUGAUUUGCUUGAUACUGGUGGUAUUGGUUUGAUACCUCAAUAUUGUCAUAUUAUUUUGUUGUAUUCUACUAUGUUACCUUCUACUGUUUUAGUUGUUAUUGUUUCUUUAUUGUAUUUCAGUAAUUACUUUUUUUAACGACUUUGGACUGUUUUUUCUUGGGUCGAAGUCCUUCAACAAGCUGAAGUAUGAAAACUUAACAAAUUGAUGAGUGUUUUCAUAUUGUGAGUAGUUGAGAGUAUUUGAAAUUAUAAAACUACCGAAUAUAUUGUUUUAUUGUAGUUUCUAUUAUAUUAUCAUCUAUUAUUUUAUUAUAAUCUAUUGUUUAUUGUACUUCUCUAAUUACUUCUUUAUUGAAUUACUUUGGACUGUUUUUUCUUGAGCUGAAGUCCUUCAUCAAGUUGAAGUGUGAAUACACUAUUAAUUGAUGAGUGUUUUCAUAUUGCGAGUAGUUGGGGGUAUCUGAAAUUUUAUAGAUGCCAGUAGAAUUCAUCAUUCACUUUUUUGAAUAUGCAAUUUAUUAUUUAUCUUCGAAUUUUGAGUUCUACUUAUUGAGUUUGCUUUAUUGUUUUUCCUUUUCCAGUUUAGUUUGUAUUUGAUUGACAUGUCAUGAAAUUUAUUUUGUGAAGUUUCAAUCUUGCAGAUUCUUGAAUAGACAUAUCUUGUUUAUGUUUUAGUACUCAUUAGAUGCUUAUUUUCAUAAAAUUUUAAUGGCUUUAACAAAUUUAUAAAUACAAUAUAAAUUAUACAUAAUAACAUUUUAUAUUAAUCAUAUAUUCAUUGAACACAUACAUGCGCAAAGCGAGUACAUCUAAACUAGUAUGUAUUAAGUAUGUAUGUGAGUAUGUAAUAUGUAUAUAAAUGCAUACUUUGAUUUUCUCUUAUUCUUUAAUGUCUAUAUAGAUAAACAAGUUUUGGUUGUUAAUAUGAAUUAUUUUCUAAAUUAUAAUUUAAAAUUCAUCAACAACAAUCAUUUGAUUUGUAACAAAUAUACAUCUACAACAUCAUAUCUAGUGAAAAUUUUUAAGUGAGGUCUGAGGAGGGUAGAGGUACACAAACCUUACCACUAUCUCGGUGAGGUAGAGAGAUUGUUUUCGAAAGACCAUCAACUAUUAAUUAUUUUGUAUACCUAUAUUGAAAUAUAUUUAUAAAAUUAUAAUACCUAUUAUUUUCAAGUAUAAAUAUAUAUUAGAGUUUUGAUUUUUAAUAAAAUUAAUUUUUACUAUUGCUCAUUUAUAAUAUUAUAGUUUGUCAUUAAAUUAUAUACUCAAUUAAUAUUUCACACUUUUAUUUUUUUAUCUUAAUAAUAAUUUUUAACCUUUAUACAAAAUAUGUUGUAUAGAUUAAAAAAUAAAAAAUAUUUUCAUAAAAAGUUCUUUUUCAAAUAAAAAAAGAUACAAAUGUUGAUAUAAAUAUAAGGGUUAAAUAGGUAUUUAAAAAAAAUCAAAUAGAAAAAAGGAGGGAGAAUGAUUAUUGUUCAAUGUUGAGGGGUUUUUGAUUUUUAUAGCAAAGUUCGGGGGUGUAAACAAUUUUAACUCUAAAAAUAUUUAAAGGUGUAUUUGGAACAAUGAAGUAAUAUUUUGUGAUAAAUGUAUUUUCUCAAAUUUUUUGACUGGAAAAUUUAUUUUCUCAUAAUUGAUUGGUGAGUUUGAAAGUAUUUUUUUAAAAAUAUAUACUAUAUACAAUUAUAAUACCAAUAAAUGUGAGAAUGUUUUGAUAAAAUCCUUUAGUAAUAAGAUAUUAAUGAUGUUUAAAUUUUAAUUAUAAAUAUCUAAAUAAUUCAUAUGUUUUUAAGGCCUAAAUAUAUAUUUACAUGAGGAUUAUUGACAUCAAUAUGACUAUUGAAAAAUAUUUGGGAGUAGUGAAUGAAUCCAGAAAAACAAAAAUAUAUUAAAUUGAUGUUGAUUAUGCAAGAUUUAGUUAUUCAUAUAUUAAUUACUUUAUCUUUUAUUCUGCAUAAAUAGUACAUAAGUUUUCUCAGAACUUAUACAUAUAUUAGUUAUACGCAUUUUUAAAUUGCAAAUCAAACAUCGUAUUAAUUUUAUACAUGAAUAAUUUACAUUCCAACCAGUGAGAUUUAAUAUCCGCAUAACUCACCUCCAAAUCAGCUACCAAACGCCCCAUUACAGAUAAAAUAAUAUUUUAAAACCUUAUGUGUGAAAAAAUAAAAAGUCUCGUAAAAGAAAAAAGAGAAAAUUUCUUAAAUAACAAACACGAGUCCAUAAUUAAUUUUUUUCGUAGCAACAUGUUGUUAAUUGUAUCCCGUAGCCACUCACAUCUUUCUUUUAUAUAUGAAAAAAUUACUUAAAACAUCACCUUAACUUUCCAUUAUUACUUAAAACCCAUCCCACUAAACUAAAUACAAAAAUCUUUUCUAACUCAUAAAAGUAGCUUAUUUAAAGAUACAUCACAAUUCACCCCUAUUACUUCACCUAUUGCGCCGCAAAUCUCACCAAAAAUUUAGGUAAUGUAUCCGGCUAUUUUCUAAGUAAAACUUUCGAUUGUUUUUAUUACAAUUUCUAUAAAUUAAUUUUCGUCCAUCUGUUAGACUAUUAUGCAUCAAAAGAUAUUUUACUCUUCAGCAAUGUAUCAUAUAAGCUAAUUGUUGUUUUAUAACUUAAUGUAAAUUAUAUAAUGUACCAGAUAUUUUCAAAAAUAAGUCAGGUAUAAUGCAAACUUAAUCACAGUGAUGUAUCUCAACCAAAAUAAUGUAAUGUAUCAGAAACUUAAAUUAAUAAUACAAUAGUAGAUAUAAUAUUAUUGUAUUUGCAUAUAAAGUUAUGUAUCAUAAGAUAUUUAGCUUUUAAUAUAAUGCAUCAGAUAAUUUUUACACAUAUAAAAUAUUAAGCACAUUAAAUAUAAUAAUGUAUUAGUAACCACAAAUAAGUGUAAUGUGUCAUGAAUUGUAGUGUAUCAUGAACUCAAUGUUAUUAAAUGAGAUAUUUGUUAUCAUAAUACAAUAUACAUAAGUUUUUACAUAAUAGGAAAACUUAUGAUAUUUGUUACCAUAAGUUAUUAUAUGACGUAUAUUAUGUAAUUUAAACAACAAUUUCUUUAAUUAAGCGCAUUAAUUGCUCAACUGUAAGUUUAAUUAUCGUUUCUUUCCAUUUUUAACCACAAUUAAACAUUCAUUAAUGUAUCAUAAACUAAUGAAUCAUGACGUUAACUAAUGUAUCAUAUCUGAAAUUUUAUGUAAUUAUUAUAAAAGUAGGGAGAGAGAAUAAUUAGGUAGUAAAGUAUUGGGAUUUAUGUUGUUUAUCCUUUAUAUAUACUCCUAUUCUUCAUGUUUUCUAUCUUUUCUCUCUAGCCUCUUUUUCUUUCAUAUAUAUUUUUUUUCUUGUAUUUUAUAUUUUAUAUUUUCAUAUUUCUCCCCAUCUCUCUCCCUUGCUCGUUUUUUUUUUCUUUUUCUUAUUUAUAUUUUGAAUUUUAUAUUUUCAUCUCUCUUUCUCUCUCUUGUUUUAUUUGUCUUUUAUAUUUUUUUUUUGUAUCAACUAAUGUAUUUUGUGUGAAUUUAUCAUUUUUAUUUAGAUGGUCCAAUCAUGAAUAUGUACCAUUUAUCAAUUAUAUUUGUAUAUAAACAAGUAUAUGAAUUACUUAUAUUUGUUUGUAAUGAAUUAUUUAAACAAACAUGUAAUGUAUUAUUUAAUACAAAUAUAUCGUUUCGAUUUGUAUGUCAAAUUUAUUAAUUGUUUUGUAUAUAAUCAUGUAUUAUUUGUAUAGUUAGAAUUGUAUAAACAUUUAUUUUCUGAUACAAAUAUAUUCUUUAAAUUUGUAUAGUUCAAUUGUCUUAAUAAACACAAUUCGUAUCAGUGAAUACAAAGACAAGUAUUUAUAGAAAGAAAACAAUUCUUUUUCAAUUAUUUAAAAAUAUAAAUAACGCAAUUAGUCAACUAUAAAUAUAAGUACAAAUAUAAAAGAAAUACAAAUAAUGCAGUCGACUACAAAUACAAACAUUUCAAGAGUUCGUUGAUAUGCAAAAUACAAAUAUUAGCCAUGAAAAUUUAGGUGGCACAAUAUUCAAUGAGAUUUGACCAUAGAGAGUUAGGACUUUUUACGUGAUUGGACAAAACCCAAAUGGAUAAUUGAAUAAAAUCUCAAAAAUGGAGGAGUAUGAGGCGACGUUAUGAUUUGGGAUACUCCUCGUAGGUAAUUCUUAGAUAAAGGAAUUGAGAGAUAUUGAAGAGUACCCAGGAUAUAAAGAAAAUGAACAAAAAGAGUAGGAGAAAAGUAAUCGAAAAAUAAGAAGAAAAUAGACAUAUAAGGUAAUUAAUGAAAAUGUUGUGCGGUAUAAUUAAAAUGUAAUUAAUAAAAUCUCUCUCUCUCUCUCUCUCUAUAUAUAUAUUAUAAAACAAAGGACGAAGCACUAGAAGAAGCCAUGUGGCAAAAUGCUGAGAAUCCAUGUGGCAGUUUUUAGGACAAUUUUAAAAGUAUUGUAAUAAGAUCUUUAUAAUUAGUUGAAUUUUAAAAUAUAAUAAAAUCUUUAUUAUAUAUUUGAAUUUGAAAAUAAUAAUACUUUUAAAUAAAAAUAAUAAAAAAUUUAUCAGCUUAAACCUAGCAACCAUAGUUGAAUAGUCUUAAAUAAACUCUAACUAUUUCAUAAUAAUAAUAAUAAUAAUAAUAAUAAUAAUAAUAAUAAUAAUAAUAAUAAUAAUAAUAAUAAUAAUAAUAAUAAUAAUAAUAAUAAUAAUAAUAAUAAUAAUAAUAAUAAUAAUAAUAAUAAAACUCAUAAUAUUACGCUUAGGGUGAUAUAUUUAUCAAAAAAUAUUUUAAAAAAUAUAAUAGUAAUAAUAGUAAUAACAAUAAAUAAUAAUAAUAAUUAUAGUAAUAAUAGUAGAAGACACGGAGCACUAAUUUUUUAAGUUAGAAAAAAAGUAUGUUGCGGUUAGCAGUAGUAGUUUUAAUAAUAAUAAUAAUAAUAAUAAUAAUAAUAAUAAUAAUAAUAAUAAUAAUAAUAAUAAUAAUAAUAAUAAUAAUAAUAAUAAUAAUAAUAAUAAUAAUAAUAAUAAUAAUAAUAAUAAUAAUAAUAAUUUAUUGAAGAGAAAAUCUUAUAUUAUUAUUUUUUAAAAAAUAUUUGAAUGUGAAAAUAAUAUGUUUUUAGAUUUAAAAAAUAACAUAUUUUCAUUAGCUUAAAACUAGGAAAUCAUGAGUGGAGAGUAGUAAAUACAUAAAUUUAAACUUUUUAAAUGCUAUAAAAUAUAUUUAUAUAUUAAAUAUAAAAUAAUAAUUUUUAAAAUUAUCAUUAUUAUCUCAUUAACUUAAGAUAUUUAUCUCAAUUCAAAUAUAUCGAUAAGAUAACUAUAUAUUACAUUUGAAAAAGGAAGGAUAAGAAAGCCUAAUAAACUAGAUAACUAUGAUAGUGUUUGAAUUUAAACAAAAUUUGAAUUGGAAUGAAAUUCCAGAUUCUUAGGUUCUCUUAUAUAUAAUCCCAUAUAUAUAUCAUUAGCUUUAUUUGGAAUGAAUUUAUUUACUGCAUUUUUUAAUUCUUCAUAUUUUAAAAACUAUUUUUGAUUGAAAGAAUAUGUCAUUUUUCAUCUUUAUUUUCCUCCAUUAAUAUUCAAGGUACAUCAAUUUAAUCAAUCUGUUUUUCUUAAAUUUAUAAAAUUCAAUCUUUUGUUGUUUUUGAACAAUAUAUAUACAUGCAUUACAUGCUUUAUUAGGUACUAAACUAUCUGAAAAUUACAAUAUGUGAAUGUUCAUGGUGCCAUGACAAAUAAUAUUUUGUAUAAUAAUUGUAUAUCGUACUUUUCAUCUAUUUUUACUUUUUAGAUCCAUGAAUCUUGAUCAUUUCAGGUUACAAAACAAAUAUGUUUUUGAUUCUACAACAGCUAAUUUUUUUUCGAUUUGAUAAAUAUUAUUUUUACAAAAGUACUAUCAUUUAUAUAUAGAUUUUUUAUUUACCAAAAAAAAAUUCAAGAUUUUGUGCACCAUCAUUCUUAUCUUUUAUCACUGAGUUUUUAAUGAUUUUAUGGAUGUGUUCAUUAUGAAGAAAUAUAAUUUUUAGGAAAAAUAUUUUUUUAAGAAAAUAAAUUAUUUCUUACUUAUAUUUUUUGUUCGCGACGCAAAUAAAAAUAUUUUGUAAAAGCAUAUAUAUACUCUAAUACUAAACAAUAAAAAUGAAUAGUGGCAAAAAGAUGAAUAUAGUCAGAGUGAAUUAGAAAAGGUGGGGAUAAUGUAAGGGGGUGGUCUAGGUGGGUGGAGGGUAGGGGGUGGUGAAUUCAGGUUUAGUUGAGGUGGAUAGGAAAAAAGAUUCUUAAAAAUAUAAAUUAAAGAGUUUAAAAUUUUUUUGGGUUAGAAAAAAGAAAUCUAAAAAUAAAAUAAUUUAUUUUUUUAGGGGGGAGGGGUGCUAAGAAAAAAGUUUCUUUUUUAAAAUUAAAAUAAAUAAUUUUUAGCUGUUGAGGGGAGUCAGGAGUGUGAACUGGGGGUAGGGGGUUGGGUAGGGUAAGAAAAAAAAUUUAAAAGUUAUAAAAUAUAAAAUAAAAAUUGGGGGUGAGGAGAUGAAUGAUUUUGAGAGUAGUAUGAGAGAUUUUAACUAAAUUUAUUUAAAAGAUAUAAGAAUACAAAUAAAUAAAAUACUUAGAAAUAUUAGUGAUAAAAUCAAACAAUGAAAAAAAUUAUGAGCAAUUAAACUUUAUUUGAAAAUUGAAAAAGGUAUUAAAUUGUAUGUGCUUUGUUUAUUGAACCAAGAGUGUUGAAAUUUAAAUUUUGAAAUUAGAGUUUUUGUAAUUGUCACAAUUAAGUGUUUUGAAAUGAAAGUGAAAGAUAAAAUCUUUUUAUAAAAGAAAUGUAGUUAGUUGUUGAAGUUGAAUUGAUAGAUUAAAAUAAAAAAAAUGAAAAUGUGAAAUGAAAGUAAGUAUUGUAAUUACAUGCCUUAAUUUAUUAAAAAUAUAAGAUAAAAUCCCAAUAACAAAAUUAAUAAUUAUUUAAUAUUAAAUAAUUUAUUAUAUUUAAAAUUAAAGAGGAGGCUGGGGUGGAGAUGGUUAGGGUUUGAUUUGUUUUUUUACUAAAUUAUUUUUUUUAUUGGUAAAUAAUAUGAUACUUAAUUUUUUUAAGGUAAUAUGCUUUAGUAUGCUGGAACGAGAUAUGUCAAUAUAAAAUAAUUAAAAAUAUUAUUUUAAUAUUAUUCGUGCAUCGCACGGGUACGUAUACUAGUAGUUUUAAAAAGAGAGGACAAAGCCUCUACAUCAAGCCAAGUGGCAGUCCAAAAAUAAGUCACUUGAUAGUUUAGAACAAAAUAUAAUUAGAAUAGUUAUUAGUUGCUACUAUUUUUAAUUUGCUUUUAACAUUUUAAAAAUAAAUUUAAAUUUUGGCAGAAUUUACAGUUGGCAGUUUUUUAAAAAUUCAAAUUUUAAUAAUUAUAUAGAUGUUUUAGUCCUAAUAUACUGCCAACUUCCAUUUAUUUUUAAAAUUUGAAACUUAUACAACUUCUUACACUUACUAGAUUAUCCUUUAAUCUUUAAAUUAGAUUCUAAUUAUACUUUUGAUGUAAAAUAAUUUUACGUAAAAAAAAAAUCAGUUACAACUUCUACGAUUUUUUUUCUCUUAUGUUGAUCACCUUUUACGAUAUUUGUUUCAAAAUCCAACAACAUCUAUGGCUACGUGAAAUAACCAAUGUUCUAAGAAAACUCUCUUCUACCUCGAAAUCAUCUGGAAUGUAUGGAUGUUUGCUUUUCAAAUGGCAAACAUGAUCUACUGUUCUGAUAUUGCUCAAGGACACAGGUAACUAUUAGUUAGUAUAUUGCUAGUUUACCUACUUGAUACGACGUUAACUUAUUAAUCUUGAAAUAGCAGUAAUUAUACAAGCAAUACAUACCAAUAUUACUACCCAUAAUAAAAACUUCAUUAACCCAAACAAAUCUUUCUGUAUUAAAGCAAUAUUUACAGAAUAGGUGCUACGAUUUUCUCUCUUAUGCAUCCAAAUAUUGUAGUAUCGGAUAGAAGCAUCAUAGCUACUAUAUUCUAUGAUGAUUCUUUUGGAAAUUUUGAAUAGUACUAUUGUGAUUAUAUUAUUUGUGCCUAUUUCAAAUCUAAUCCGCAUUUUAUUCAAGUUGAAUAUUUGAAUAAAACAUAUAUAUUUUUAAGAUAUUAUUCGAACUUUUUUAAAAUUAUGUGUUUAGGAGUAGCCAUGACAUCUUUUGUACUUGCUAGUGAUUAUAUUAUGCAUAAUUAUGAUUAUGAUUACAUUAAUUAUUAAUAUUGGUGAAAUAGAAAUAAUGAGAAAGAAGAGUGGGAGGAAAAUAGUUGUUUUUAGGAUAAUGGACACAAAUUGAGAAGAGAAGGGGAAAUAAUCGAACACUAAGCAGAGGGUAAAAGUUUAUUCACACCCGAUGUUUAUAUCAAGUUAAUACACGCAUGUCAUGUAUUUAAAUUUAGAAUUCAUUUUACUUAAUUAUAAGUAAUUAACAUAUAUUUUAUUUUACUAAUUAAGGUGUUACUAGAUUGUUUUAUUGGACUGUGUCUGAUUACUUCAACGAGUUGUUUCCUUAAUGUAGUACAACACAUUGAGAGUUGUUGAGACUUGAAGCUAUUUUUCAAGAUCCAGAUUGGUUACUGUUGGGUUCAAUUGGAGUGAAUGGAAAAUGGAGGGACACAACCUUUUGAGGAAAAGACACAUUAUUUUGGAAAAGGAGUGGCUGUUCGGAUAGUUGUGUCUGUUCAAAAAAAGACACAAUAUUUUGAAUGAACAGACAUGACUCUUCCAAAUAAUACACCUUUUCGGAUGAACCAUUGCCACCUUUUAGAAGGGGCACAUUAUAGCUAUAUAAACCUAUAUUUUUUCCACAGGUUUAGAAUGAAAAAAUUUCUGCAUAAGAAAAAUAUUCUCUUGCUUCUAAAAACUCUGUGAGAUCAUCUCCCGUUGAGUGAGUUAGAAGAAAACCAGAAAGUUAGAGGUACCGCUACAUUCUGGUUGUGAAGUCAUUUUAUCCUGGGAGGAAAAUUUUGCAACCUUGGGUACUCGAGGGGAAUUAUUUCCUCAAGAGCACUCCGUGAAUUCAGAGGACAUGACUUUUUUCUGUUUCAUCUAUUUUUCUUUAAGAAACUGAAAACAUACUUCUUUGAAAGAUCAUUUUGAUCUUGUGUUGAAGGUGUUGGACAACUUCAUAAGUGUUCUUGAUUUAUUCUUGAACUUGUGUUGAAGUAGUGUUGAAAAUACAGAUUUUGUGUACCUGAAAAAUAACAAUCUUAAGGAAAUAAUAUUACUAAUCUGUAUUGUUUCGUUUACUAUUUUUUCAGUAAAUAGUUGAACUUCAUAUUGAUAGUUCUUCAACCUUUUGAACUUGUGUUUGAAGUUCUUGAAACUUUAUUUUGAUAGCUCAUAAGUUGGUUGAACUUGUGUUGAAGUUCUUAACAUUUGAUUUUGCUAUUUUUCAGAAAAUAGUUUGAACUUCAUUUUGUUGAUGUUUAUAAGUUGGGUUGAACUUAUUGUUAAAAGUUAAAAGUUGUAAAUAUAGAGUUAAAACUUCAUUUGAUUGUUCAUAUGUUAAUUUGAACAUGUGUUUGAAGUUAUUAUUGAAAAAUACAGAUUUUAUCAAAAUUGAGAAAAACAACAAUCUUAAGGAAAUAACUUUUGAAAAAAUAGUAUUUUUUUUUGCUUGUUUAGUGAAAUUUUCUUUUCACUAAAGUUUUUUUUUCGGAAUCUGUAUUGCUUGGUUUCUGGAGAUUAAACCUUUUAGCUUUCUACUCCGUUUGAACUUAACUGGUGAUUUGAAGAAAUAAAAAAUCUUCAUCACAAGUUAAAGAUCACUUGGUUGACGAUUGGAAGUCAUAAAAACUUCAUCAUUAAACUAGAAACAAGAGGUGUUUAAAGUUGCUCCAACUUUAUUAAUAGUAUUUUGAUAUACUAAAGUUACUGUCUUGUUAUGAUAGGAAAGUGACUAUGGAUAGUCAAGUGCAUGAUGUUGCAACGACAGUGGCUGCAACUAGUGUUGCCACAACGAGUCGUACAAAUGCUCCGCCGACAAUGGCACCAACGAAGAAACCCAAAAAGUUCGCGGGUAUUAACUUCAAAAGGUGACAGCAAAAAAUAUUUUUCUACCUUACAACUCUUUGUCUUCAAAGGUUCACAUUUGAGGAAGCUGUAGAGGUGCCCGAGAGAACCUCUGAACAAGAGCGAUUUGUGAUUGUGGAGGCUUGGAAACACUUAGAUUUCCUUUGCAGGAACUACAUCUUGAUUGGUCUCCAAGAUGAUCUCUACAAUAUGUAUAGUGGAGCAAAGACAACAAAAGAGUUGUAGGGAGCGCUGGAACGAAAGUACAGGACAGAGGAUGCAGGAACUAAAAAGUUCUUCGUUGUAAGAUUUUUGGAAUAUAAAAUGAUAGACAACAAGUCGUUGUCUCCCAAGUGAAGAAAUUCAAGAGAAAGUGCUUUAACUGCGGCAAGAUUGGCCACAAGUCUACGGAUUGUCGUGCUCCAAAAAAAGGCAAGAAAAAAGACCAAGCAAAUAUGGCUGAGUCCAAGAAAAAAAUGAACGAUCUGUGUGCUAUGUUGUUCGAAUGCAACUUAGUGGAAAAUCCUUGUGAAUGGUGGAUAGAUUUCAAUGCCACCCACCAUGUUUGCGCUAAUAAGGAGUUAUUUGCUAAUUUUUCUCCGGUUUAAGGGGAAGAAAAUAUCUUUAUGGCUAACUCCGCUACUGCAAAAGUAGAAGGAACAGGAACAGUAUGCUUAAAAAUGACAUCAGGCAAAGUGUUGACACUCAAUAAUGUCUUGUAUGUACCAGAGUUAAGAAAGAACUUGAUUUCUGUAUCACUUCUAGACAAGAACGGAUUUAAAUAUGUAUUUGUGUCCGAAAAAGUUCUACUUAGUAAAAGAGAAGUUUAUGUAGGAAAAGGCUACCUCAAUGAGGGCCUAUUUAAAAUGAAUGUAAUAAAUGUUGAAAUCAAUAAAAGUUCAGUUUCUUCUUACUUGCUUGAGUCUUAUGAUUUAUGGCAUGAACGAUUAGGCUAUGUUAAUUACAAAACAUUGAAAAAAUUAAUUAACUUAGAAGUUUUUUCAAACUUUGAGUGCAAUAAAUCAAAAUGUCAAACGUGUGUGGAAUCAAAGUAUGCUAAGCAUCUGUAUAAGUCCGUUGAAAGAAUUCCAAUCUCUUAGACUUAAUCCACACUUACAUUUAUGAUAUGAAGUCAACACCAUCUCGUGGUGGAAAAAAGUAUUUUAUAACUUUUAUUGAAGAUUGCACUAGAUAUUGUUAUGUCUAUUUGCUAAAUAGUAAGGAUGAAGCAAUAACUGCGUUUAGGCAAUAUAAAACUGAAGUUGAUAAUCAGUUAGAGAAAAAUAUCGAAACGAUAAGAAGUGAUAGGGGCGGAGAAUUUAUAUCUCCCUUUGCGAAAAUAUGUGUAAAGAAUAAAAUUAUCCAUCAAACUACAACCCCGUAUUCACCUCAAUCUAAUGGAAUUGCGGAAAGGAAAAAUCGAACCUUGAAAAAAAUAAUGAAUGCCUUACUUAUUCAGGUUUACAACAAAACUUAUGGGGGAAAGCUAUCCUUACGGCUAACCGAAUACUCAAUACAGUGCCCCAUAGUAAGACACAAUCAAUUACAUAUAAAAAAUAGAAAGAAAGAAAACCCAACUUGAAAUAUUUCAAAGUUUGAGAGUGUCUAGCGAAGGUCCAAGUUCCUAUGCCUAAAAGUGUAAGGAUAGGACCUAAGACGGUGGACUGCGUGUUCAUAGGAUAUGCUAAAAGUAGCAAAGCAUGUUGGUUUUUGGUUCAUAAGUCCUAACAUCCGGAUAUCAAUGAAAAUAUGAUAAUUGAAUCAGAUAAUGCUGAAUUGGUUAAAAAUAAUUAUUCGUAUAAAACUAGACAUGAACAGUCUAGUGGGGGGUCUAAACGACCUCAAAAUGAACCAAGUGAGGAUAUACAUAAUGAUGAGAAUCCAAGGCGUAGUACAGUCAAAGAAUGGCAACUUCGUUUGGAUCGAAUUUUGUAACAUUUCUCUUAGAAAAUGAACCUCAAACAUUUAAAGAAGCGAUGGGUCUUCGGACUCAUCCUUUUAGAAAGAGGCAGUCGAUAGUGAGAUUGAUUUAAUCUUAAACAACCAUAUAUAGGAGUUGGUUGAUCUUCCUCCAGGAAAAAAACCUUUAGGUUCUAAAUGGAUCUUCAAAAGGAAAAUGAAAGCGGAUGGUACUAUUGACAAAUACAAGGCAAUACUCAUAGUAAAAGGCUUUAAGCAGAAAAAAGGCCUUGAUUACUUUGAUACAUACUCGCCAGUAACAAGGAUAACGUUGAUUCGAAUGUUAAUUGCCCUGACGGCGGUAUAUGAUCUUAAAAUCCAUCAAAUAGAUGUGAAAAUCACAUUUCUAAAUGGAGAAUUGGAGGAAGAAAUUUACAUGGAACAACCUGAGGGUUUUGUGAUUUCAGGAAAAGAAAAUAAGGUGUAUAAAAAUGUUAAGUCACUUUAUGGACUAAAACAAACACCUAAACAAUGGCAUGUGAAGUUUGACCAAACCAUGUUGGCAAACAUAUUCAAGAUUAAUAAAUGUAAUAAAUGUGUGUAUAUUAAAGACACUCCAAAUCAACAAGUCAUUGUGUGUUUAUAUGUGGAUGAUAUGUUGAUUAGCAGUAGAGACAUUUCUGACAUAAAUGCAACAAAACGAAUGCUCAAGAGCAAAUUUAAUAUGAAAGACCUUGGAAUUGCGGAUGUGAUCUUAGGGAUAAGAAUCCAUAGAACUCCACAAGGGUUGGCAUUGUCACAGUCUCAUUAUAUUGAAAAGGUACUUUACAAAUUCAAGUAUUUGAAAUUUGGUAUUGCCAAGGCUGCAUUGGACGUGAGCUUUCCACUUCAAAAGAAUGAAGGUGAAAGUGACUCAUAGUUGGAGUACGCAAGAGUGUUGGGAUGUUUAAUGUAUAUCAUGAAUUGUACAUGACCAGACAUAACAUGUGUCAUUAACAAGUUGAGUCGGUACAAUAAUAAUCCCAAUAAAACUCAUUGGAUGGAAAUGAAAAGAGUUUUGGGGUAUCUUAAAUACACUCAAGACUAUGCUUUUCAUUAUAAUAAAUAUCCCUCGGUACUUGAAGGAUAUAGUGAUGCAAAUUGGAUCACCGGAUCGAAUAAAGUAAAAUCCACGAGUAGAUAUGUAUUUACUAUUAGUGGAGGAGCGAUCUUUUGGAAAUCUUCCAAAUAAACAUGGAUCGCUCGCUCUACAAUGGAAUCUGAAUUUAUCGCAUUGGAUAAAGCCGGUGAUGAAGCAAAAUGACUUUGAAAUUUCUUUUAAGAUAUUCCUUAUUGGCCCAAACCAGUGACACCAGUAUGUAUACACUGUGAUAGCCAAGCGACAAUAGGUAGGGCAGGGAGAAUGAUGUACAAUGAUAAAUCUCGUCACAUAAGAUGGAGAAAUAAUACCGUUAGAGAACUUCUCUCUUGUGGAAUUAUCACUGUUGACUAUGUGAAGUCAGAAUAAUGUGUCAGAUCUACUUACAAAAGGCCUAUCUAGAGAAGAAGUUGAGAGAACAUUCAAGGAAAUAGGUUUAAGGCCUAGGACAAGUAAGCAUGACGGUAACUCUACCUAGCAUCCUGGAGAUCCCAAGAGCUAGGUUCAAGGAGAUCAAACAAAGUUGUGUCUGACAGGUUCAAUAUUAUCAAUAUACCCAAUUCAUUCUCAUGAUGUAGACAAUGUUUAGUAAACAAGGAUAAGACUUAUGGUGUAAAGUCUUAUAAUGAUUAUCUAAAUUUGGAAGAUUGAUCAAAUAGUUUAAUCUACAGGAUUGAACGUUUAGAAAUUACCUAUGUGAGGGCAAAGUUGAAGCCGCUUCAAAGAGAAUGUUAGUAAAGGCCUAUUCUCUUAGCUCUUAUGAGACCGAAACGUAUUCAUGGCUGAAACGAAUAAAAUUGUGAGAACCAUAAAUGAUAAAAGGAUAGUUGUGUGACAUAUGUUGUCUAGUGUACAUUAAAGCUUGACGGUUCAAAGAUAUCAAAUCUAUCGAUUGACCGAGUGCAUCCGAUGCAUGUUCACUAUGGAAAGUUCAAAGGGAAACCUAUUUAUCCAGAUGCAAUCAGUCUUUGAUUGAUGAUCACAUACUUGUCUGUAAAAUUUUACAAAGAAUAGCCAUUCCCCAUUCAUGUGGGAGAUUGGUGGGUUCAAUUGGUAUGAAUGGAAAAUGGAGGGACACAACCCUUUGAGGAAAAGACACAUUGUUUUGGAAAAUGAGUGACUGUUCAUAUAGUUGUAUCUGUUCAGAAAAAGACAUAAUAUUUUGAAUGAACAUACAAGACUCUUUUAAAGGAUACACCUUUUCGGAUGAAUUAUUGCCACCUUUCGGAAGGGGCACUUUAUGGCUAUAUAAACUUGAAUUUUUUUCACAGGUUUAGAAUGAAAAAAUUUCUGUAUAACAAAAAUAUUCUCUUGCUUCUAAAAAAUCUGUGUGAUCAUCUCCCGUUGAGUGAGUUCGAAGAAAACUAAAAAGUUAGAGGUACCACUACAUUCUGGUUGUGAAACCAUUUUAUCCUGGGAGGAAAAUUCUGCAACCUCGGGUAUUUGAGUGGAAUUAUUUCCUUAAGGAAACUCCAUAAAUUCGAAGGACUUGGCUUUUUUCUGUUUCAUUUAUUUUUCUUUAAGAAGCUGAAAACAUAAUUCUUUGAAAGAUCAUUUUGAUCUUUUGUUGAAGGUGUUGGACAACUUCAUAAGUGUUCUUGAUUUAUUUUUGAACUUGUGUUGAAGUAGUGUUCCAAAAAUACAGAUUUUGUGUACCCAAAAAACAACAGUUACAUGUCAGUUAGCUGUAAAUUUCAUACUUGAGUUGCUAUUCUGUUUGGAUUAGACUGUGUCAUGAUUAACGAAUCAAAUAAUCCAACAUGACGAGUACGUAACAUUCUAUCUAAAUUCAGGGUCUAUCAGAAAUAACCUCUCUAUCCCUAUGAGGUAGUUUUAAGGUCUGCAUAUACUCUACCCUCACUAGACUCCACCUAUGAAAUUACACUAGGUAUGUCAUUAUUGAUAAGUAGCAUUCUAAAAGAUCGAAACUUUGUACCAAGGAAUUUGUAAAAAAAUAAAAGGGCGUGGUGUCUCCUUUAUUAGUUGAAACUUCAUUGAAACUUUAAGAACCAAACUAGAGACAUGAAACAUCAAUUGCAAUAUUGCUUCCCAAGUGUCUGUUGUGAGUUACUUUUAACCCUACGCAUAUCGGGAGCUUUAGUGCACUGCGCUGCCCUUUUACUAAGUAACACAAAUUUUUGAUUACUCUUUUCUUAUUUGAUUUUAGAAUGCGUGGUCUCUUUUUAAUUUUGGUGUCAAAUUUCAAAUUGCUUCAACGGGCAUUCCCAUAAGAGGUUGCAAUUUUUAGAGAUUUGAGAGUGCUGCUCUUAGGGCAUAUUUAGAGGAUUUUCUUUCUUUUUUUCUUCCUUUAUGUCCAAAAUAUUAAAGAGUUCUUUAACCUUUGGCUUUUUUCCUUAUUGAUUUUGCACAUUCAUUGAUAAUUUUGUGUCUCCUUCAAUAGUUGCCACUUAAUAAGCUAUGCAUGAACAAGAUGACGUGACACUACUCUUGCAUUUUGGGAGGCAUUUUCUAAUAUUCCUACGUAUUAUUCCUUUUUGGCAUUCCCUGUCUCUUGUAUGAAAACAUACACUAAUUUGUUUUAGAGAAACUCUAAAUUGAGUCUUGUGAGAAAACUAAAGUUGUAACUCUUCAACUUUAUGUAGUUAACAUUGUGUUUUUUGAUGUUUAUGUUUUUUUUUUAAAAAAUAUUUCUUUAGUCUGUUUAAUGGAUAGUAGUCCAAUUUCUAAUUUAGUGUUUGGUUAUCUAAUGAAUUUUCAGUGAUCUUUUCAUUCUUCAACGUAUAUAUGCUCAUUUCUUUCUUCCCAUAUGCUAUAAUCUUUUGCUUAAUUUGUUUUAGUAUAACAUUAUGGUAACUGGUAAGGAGAUCUCAUUUUGUUUAUUGAGUACUAAUAAAUUUUGUUUUAUACCCUGUCUUAAAAGGGCAGUCCGGUGCACUAAAACUACCUCUAUGCGCGGUGUCCGGAAAAGGGCCCCACCACAAGGGUGUAUCAUACGCAACCUUACCUUGCAUUUCGGCCAGAGACUGUAAACCUUGUCUUAAUCCUAGAUUUUAAAUUUCUGAUCUUUAUAUGAAUUUAAGAAAACACCAUCAAUAGAAUUACUUUAAACACUACUUUGGUGUUACAAAUUGUCUCGGUGUAACUUCUGUAAACAUCGAGCGCCAACACUAUUUGCUUUAUUAUUUUUCCCUUGGAAGAGUAGGUUAUCGGAAACUGCAAAUUCAAAUCAGAUUAAUCAACUUUAUCAAGGCUUAGGUUCUUUGGAACAUUUUUUUUUUUUUUUUUUUUUACAAUUUUAGAAAAGAUAAUUUUAGCACUUUUUCUUUAUUUUAGUAUCUCGAGCCGAAGUUCUUUUGAAAACUGUCUCUCCUCAAAGUAGAGUUAAGAUUUGUGUACAUUCUAUUAUCCUGAAAUUCACUUACAGGAUUUCACUUAAUAUAUUGGCUUUUAAGCACUGGUGUAAUUUGUUUAGAGAAUAUGAAUUUCAUAAGCAUCAAGUUGAUGAAAAAUAAAGCGCUUCGUCCAAUACGGAGUAUCAGAAUAAUAUGUCUACAAUGGAAUUAAAGGUAACUUUUUUUAUUUAAUUAUCAAAUUUGGUAUAUCAACCUUUUCCUUACAAUUAAAUUAUUCUCUAUAAUUGCCACAAGGUGUCUCAGCGGUCAACGAAGUGGGUUGAGAACAUGAAUGUCUCGGGUUCAAACCCCGACAGAGAUAAAAAAACAAGGUGAUUCUUCCCAUAUGUUCUAGCAUUGGUGGAUAGAAUCUGGUGGGAGGUGUUAGGUAUCCCGUGUAUAUAGUCAAGGUGCGCAUAAGCUGGCUAGGCACCAUGAUUAUCAAAAAUAUUAUUCUCUGUAAUUUAAUGUUUUUGUUUUGGUUACAAGAGAAUUCAUGUUUGGUUAAACAACAUUAAAAGCAUUCUUUAUAAUCUUCAAAUUUACGGGUGCUAUUCCAACUGAAAAUUAGUUCUAUGAUUAAUUUUCUUAGAUUUAUUUGAAACCUGUUAUUGAAUUCAGGAUAUGAUUUUACUUAAUGGUGUAUGUUGCAAAAUGAAGUGAUUUUACUGGUUAUAUGUAUCAAAAAGGAUGUUCAGAAGUAAUGAAUAAGAUAUACAUCACCGAUUCUAUUUUUUAAAACAUAAAUGCAGAACUUUUAGCUAUAACUUUGAUAAGAACAAUUACAAAUUUCAACUAAAAACUACAAGCAGGUGAAUAUUUGAGUUUACAAUCGUAAUAAGUUUAUAUACUUGGCCAAAAUUUCAAUUAUAAAUUAAGUCUUUUAUACUUUCCGCGCAUCGUGCAGGUACUACACUAGUGGUAACUAGGUUCCUUAAUUAAAUGCGUAGAAAUAUAUGAAAUAAAUGUAUUAGAGUAAAAUUGAUGGAGACCAUCUAAAAUGAUGCUAUAUUUGUUGGUUAGCAAUUUUUUAAAAAUUGUUGGUAUAGUAAGGGCUUAUGUUUCUUAUGUCACGUAAUUUUUUUUAUCAAAGAAACAUAAAAUCAAAAUUAAAACAUGUUUGUGAAAGGUUACAGAACCAAAUCUUUCUCUAAGUGCUUACUAAAAAGGUCACAUAUUCAAAAGUUAAAAUCUCUUGACCACUUGUAAAAUGAAUAGAUAAAAGUAUUUUUUUAUAUUUGUUUUAAGUGUAAAAAUGAAAAUCUAUUGAAAAGAUUAUAAAACUAAAAAAAUAAAUAAAAUAUAAAUUUCCAAAAAAAAAAUCAACUAUCCCCGCAUAUUAGCAAGUCAUUAAAAAUUAAAGUGUUCUUCUUGGUUUGCUCUUAUUAAUUUUUUUUUUACUUGUUCAAUUUAUUUAUUUUUAUUUGAUGAAAAAGAAAUUGAUUUAAAUUGAUAUUGGUGUUUUUUUUUUUUUUUUUUAAAGUAUUAAGACCAAUUCUAGUAUUUAGAUUAAUUAUUUUAAUCCUUAAUUUACUCCUGCCUCAAUAUGACCACCUUUCAUCUAAUACUUUUAGGAAAACGGAUAAUUUUUCAGUCAAAUUCUUUUUUCAUAAUACAAAUCAUUAUAGCAUAAAACCUUAAACCGAAUUUGAAAAGGUUAAGUUCCAAAUACAAUCCAAUUAGAAUAAGGAUUAGGUUCAGUUCUGCCCUGCUAUGUAUUGCUAUCCAUUAUAUCAACAUCCUAAUACACCUUAUUAAUUCCACCACUUUGUGCUGCCUGUUUAAUAGGUGUGAAUAAAAAAUGGAGGGACACAAUUUUUGAGGAAAAAACAUAUUAUUUUAGAAAAUAAGUGACUAUUCAGAUAGUUGUUUCUGUUCAGUUAAAGACACAAUGUUUCGAAUGAACAGACAUGACUCUUCCAAAGGAUACACCUUUUCGGAUGAACCAUUGUCACCUUUCGGAAGGGGCACUUGAUGACUAUAUAAACCUUCUUUUAUCCACAGGUUUAGGAAUGAAAAAAAUAAUAAUUCUGAAAUACAAACUCUUCUUGUCUUCAAAACAUUCCUUGUGAUCAAUCAAAUCGUUGAGUGAGUUCGACGAAUCCAAUUAUUGAGGUACCAGUAUAGUUGGAUUGAAAGACCAUUUAUCCUGGGAGGAAGAUUCCAAAACCUCGAGUACAGUGAGGGGAAUUAUUCCUUAAGGACACUCCAUGAAUUCGGGGGACUUGGCUUUACAUUUCUGUUUCAUCUUAAUUUCUGAAAAAAUAAAACACACUUCUUAGAAAGACCACUUUGAUCUUGUGUUGAGUGUGUUGUUGUACUUCAUAGUGUUCUUGUUUUAAAGAAAAUGAUGAAUGUCUUACUUAUAAGUUCAGGUUUACCGCAAAACUUGUGGGGGAGGCUAUCCUUACAGCAAACCGAAUACUCAAUAGAGUUCCCUAUAGUAAGACACAAUCAAUCCCUUAUGAAAAAUGGAAAGAAAGAAAACCCAACUUGAAAUAUUUCAAAGUGUGGGGGUGUCUAGCAAAGGUCCAAGUUCCUAUACCUAAAAAGGUUAAGAUAGGACCUAAGACGGUGGACUGCGUGUUCAUAGGAUAUGCUAAAACUAGUAAAGCAUGUCGGUUUUUUGUUCAUAAAUUCGAACAUCCGGAUAUUAAUGAAAAUACGGUAAUUGAAUCAGAUAACGCUGAAUUCUUUGAAAAUAAUUAUCCGUAUAAAACUAGACAUGAACAGUCUAGUGGAGGGUCUAAAUGAUCUCGAGAUGAACGAAGUGAGAAUGCACAUAAUGAUGAGAAUCCAAGACGUAGUACCCGUCAAAGAACGUCAACUUCAUUUGGAUCGGAUUUUGUAACAUUUCUCUUAGAAAAUGAACCUCAAACAUUUAAGGAAGCGAUGACGUCUUCGGACUCAUUCUUUUGGAAAGAGGCAGUCGAUAGUAAGAUUGAUUCAAUCUUAAGCAACCAUACAUGGGAGUUAGUUGAUCUUUCUCUAGGAAACAAAUCUUUAGGAUCUAAAUGGAUCUUCAAAAGAAAAAUGAAAUCGGAUGGUACUAUUGACAAAUACAAGGCAAGUCUUGUAGUAAAAGGCUUCAAACAAAAAGAAGGCCUUGAUUACUUUGAUACAUACUCACCGGUAACAAGGAUAAUGUCGAUUCGAAUGUUAAUUGCCUUGGCGGCGGUAUAUGAUCUUGAAAUCCAUCAAAUGGAUGAGAAAAUCGCAUUCCUAAAUGGAGAAUUGGAGGAAGAAAUUUAAAUGGAACAACCUGAGGGUUUUGUGGUUCCAAGAAAAGAAAAUAAGGUGUGUAAACUUGUUAAGUCACUUUAUGGACUAAAACAAGAACCUAAGCAAUGACAUGCAAAGUUUGACCAAACCAUGUUGACAAACGGAUUUAAAAUUAAUGAAUGUGAUAAAAUGUGUUUAAUUAAAGACACUCCAAAUCACCAAGUCAUUGUGUGUUUAUAUUUGGAUGAUAUGUUGAUCAUUAGUAGAGACAUUUCAGACAUAAAUGCAAUGAAACGAAUGCACGAAAGCAAGUUCGAUAUGGAAAACCUUGGAGUUGUGGAUGUGAUCUUAGGGAUAAGAAUCCAUAGAACUCCACAAGGGUUGACAUUGUCAUAGUCUCAUUACAUCGAAAAGGUACUUGACAAAUUCAAGUAUAUAAAAUUUGGUAUUGCCAAGACUCCAUUGGAUGUGAGCUUUGCACUUCGAAAGAAUGAAGGUGAAAGUGACUCAUAAUUGGAGUACGCAAGAGUAUUGGGAUGUCUAAUAUAUAUAAUAAAUUGUACACGACCAGACAUAGUAUGCGCUAUUGGUAAGUUAAGUCGGUACACGAGUAAUCCCAACAAAACUUAUUGGUUGGCAAUGGAAAGAGUUUUGGGGUAUCUCAAAUACACUCAAGACUACGCUUUGCAUUAUAAUAAAUAUCCCACGGUACUUGAAGGAUAUAGUGAUGCAAAUUGGAUCACCAGAUUGAACAAAGUAAAAUCCACGAGUGGAUAUGUAUUUACUAUCAGUGGAGGAGCGGUCUCUUGGAAAUCAUCCAAAUAGACUUGUAUUGCUCGCUCUACAAUGGAAUCUGAAUUUAUCGCAUUGGAUAAAACCGGUGAAGAAGCAGAAUGACUCUGGAAUUUCUUAGAAGAUAUUUCUUAUUGGCCCAAACCAGUGGCACCAGUAUGUAUACACUGCGAUAGCCAAAUGAGGAUAGAAAGGGCAGGAGCAUGAUGUACAACGAUAAAUCUCAUCACAUAAGAUGGAGACAUAAUAUCCUUAGAGAAUUUCUCUCUAGUUGAAUUAUCACUGUUGACUAUGUGAAGUCAAAGGAUAAUGUGUCGAAUCCACUUACAAAAGGCCUAUCUUGGUUAGGAGUUGAGAGAACAUCCAAGGGAAUGGUUUUAAGGCCUAGGACAAGUCAGCAUGGUGGUAACUCUACCUAGCAGACUGGAGAUCCCAAGAGCUAGGUUCAAGGAGAUUAAACAAAGUUGUCUCUAACAGGUUCAACAUUGGCAAAAUACCAACCCAUUCUCAUGAUGUAGACAAUGUUUAGUAAACAAGGAUAAGACUUAAGGUGAAAAGUCUUUUAAUGAUUAUCUAAAUUUGACAGAUUUGACCAAAUAGUUUAAUCUAUAGGAUUGAACGUUUAGAAAUCACCUAUGUGAGGGCGAAGUGGAAGCCGCUUCAAGGAGAAUGUUAGUAAAGGCCUAUUCUCUAAACUCUCAUGAAAUCGAGACGUGUUCAUGAUUGAAAAGAACAAAACCGUGAGCACAAUAAAUGGUAAAAGGCUGGUUGUGUGACAUGUGUUGUCUAGGUGUACAUUAAAGCUCGACGGUUCAAAGAUAUCAAAUCUACUGAUUGACCGAGUGCAUCCGAUGCGUGUUCACUACGAAAAGUUCAAAGGGAAACCCAUUUAUCCUGAUGCAAUAGUUUUUGCUUGAUGAUCACAUAUUUGUCCAUAAAGUUUUACAAAAAAAUAGCCAUUCCCCAUUCAUAUGGGGGAUUGUUGGGUUCAAUAGGUGUGAAUGGAAAGUGGAGGGACACAACCUUUGAGGAAAAGACAUAUUAUUUUGGAAAAUGAGUGACUAUUCAGAUAGUUGUGUCUGUUCAGAAGAAGACACAAUAUUUCAAAUGAACAAACACUACUCUUCCAAAGGAUACACCUUUUCGGAUGAACCAUUGUCACCUUUUGGAAGGGGCACUUGAUGGCUAUAUAAACCUGCUUUUAUCCACAGGUUUAGGAAUUAAAUUUUUUUUUUUUUGAAAUACAAACUUUUCUUGUCUUUAAAACAUUGGUUGUGAUCAAUCAAAUCGUUGAGUGAGUUCGACGAUUCCAAUUAUUUGAGGUACCACUAUAGUUGGAUUGAAAGCCAUUUUAUCCUGGUAGGAAAAUUUCAAAACCUCGGGUACAGUGAAGGGAAUUAUUCCUUAAGGACACUCCGUGAGGUUGGGGGGACUUGGCUUUACAUUUCUGUUUCAUCUUAAUUUCUGAAAAAAUAAAACACACUUCUUAAAAAUCCCUCUUUGAUCUUGUGUUGAGGGUGUUGUUGUACUUCAUAGUGUUCUUGUUUUAAACUUGAACUAGUGUUGAAGUUAUUGUGUCAAAUUACAGAUUCUUGUACCCGAAAACGUUGAAAGAUAACACUGCCUUCUUCACAAAUCUCACAUAUACAUACAUGGCUGCCUGCAGUCGUAUUGGGGAUUCUCUCUCUGUUUUGCGUUGGCGCAUAUGCUUUGAAAGGAUGCCCGUUUAAAGCCUUGUACCAGCAACAUAGGAAUUCAAUAUCAAUUGAUCACCGUCAACAACUCUCAAUUCAUGUCAACAACGAUACGCGGACAGUGAUUGGAGAAACACCUCAUGAUAUUAACUUCUUUACUCGAUAUGAUCAAUGGCACAAAAAUCAAGCCACCACGAUGGAGAAAGAGAAAAGUACCAAUAACAAUGACUACAACAAUUUCUGCAUAGUAGGUUUCAUCAUUGUUAUAACUCUUGCGAUUAUCCGUCUAUUUCGUGUUGAUCAUGCCGCUCACGCUCCGAGGGAAUGUCCGUUUAAAUCCAUGUACCGCAAAUAUGGAAAUUCCAUGUUGUCAAGUAGUACUAAUCUUGGAGUAAUUGGAGAAACACCUCAUGAUCGUAGCGCCUUUUUUGAUCAACAUCAAUGGCUCAAAAAUCACGUUAACAUGAUGCAGAAAAAGAUGUAAUUAAUGAAUCAAAGAUCAAUUUUAUGGAGAACACAUUGAAGCAAUGAUUAGAAUGUCUUUAUUGGUGACUAAAAACAUAGUAAUAUGUAUUGUACUUAGUAGAUGUUGGUCUAAGUCAUUGAACAAGCGUCUGUUCUAAUUGUGAAAUAGAAUCAUAAUAUUAGUUUAUCUAUGUUUUCUUAGUUUUGUUUUUAAUUAGCGCUAUAGACUUGUUUUUCCAGAUGUCAUGACUCAUGAGCUCCACUUUGAAUGUAAACUAUAGGAUAUGUGGGGUACUUAAUGAUUGUUAAGUAUGUUUGGUUGUGGUUACUCCAAAAAUCUCCACAUGGAAUGUGCGUGUUUUUCCCCUUUGGAAAUCGUGAUUUCCGAUUUAGCUUAUUACGUAUCUUUCACUAGUGAGUAUCAAGAAAGAAUUAUCUAGUGUUUUUAUAAUUAUGUUAAAAUUCAAAUCUAAGAUCUUGUAUUUUUUUGUUAAUUAGUUGUUAGGUCUGAAUGUGACUGGAAAAAGAUUGUGUAAGGAAGUGCACUUCAAUUUUUUUUUUUUUAAAUCGUGAAAGUUGUAAACGAGCAUUUCAUUUGAAAUAUAUAUUUUCAAACCAAUUUUCAUUUCAUGUUCAAAUACAGAAAUUUCAAAUACUUAUGAUCAAAAUUGAGGAAAAAAAAUUAAACGAACAAAACUGGGAAAAAGAGAAACAAUUAGGAUCGGGAUUCACAAGAAAUUUGUGGUGAAGCGGUAGUUUAUCCUUAACUUAGUCUCAAAGAUUUAAGCUCAAGAUAUGAAGCCGCCUUACCUUCAAAGUGCGAUUUUCUAACAUAAAUUCAAAUUAAUUUUUGUACUUAACUUAAUUAGUCUCAUUCAAUAGCGACUCAAGUAAAUUCGUGGCCUAAGACUAAAAUCAAACGGAAGUCUUAAUUUUUUAAGAAAAAAUAAUUUUUUUUUAUAAAGUCUACUUUUAAAAUUAUAUAAUCGAUUUCUUCUAAUAAUUUUUUUUAAUUAAUAAUAUAAUCAAUGUAUUAAAUCUUUCUUGAGACAUAUUAUUCUAGACUAGAUAUAUCACUCCUUUUAAAUUCCUUUUACGUAAAGAGUUUAUUUUUUCUACAAAUAGUGGUAAUCUAUUAUUACUAAAAAUAAAUACAUAAGGCCCCUCAAAUUUGGAAAUAUACGGAGGUGCCUUUUUUUUUUUUUUUCGAAAGGGCAGAGUCGCUCCUAGUCUCAAGGUUGUGCAUUUAUUUGUCUUUUUGGUUUGCCCUUAUUUUUUUCCUUCUUCAAUUUAAUUUUUUAUUUGAUCAUAAAAAGUUACUUUAAAUUGUUAUUGAUAUUCUUUUUAAAUUUAUUAAAACCAGUUUUAGCAUUUAAAUUAAGUGUGUUGUCCAAUAAAAUAAAAAUAGCUUGAGUGUUGGAACUUGGAAUUCUCAAUUUUACUCAUGCCUCAAUAUCUAUAUCUAUAUCUAUAUCUAUAUCAAUAUCUAUAUCUAUAUCUAUAUCUAUAAUCUAUAAUCUGUAAUCUACAAUUCUAUAAUAUAUUAAAAGUGUGAAGACCCUUAUAAAAGUGAUUUAAACUUUUUGUCCUUUAUUACAAGUCUCUACUUUAGACAAAUCGUAUUUUCACUAUUUUUCUAAUAAUAAAAAACAAACAUUAAACAAAAAAUUACAAGAAAAAUUCAAUCCAGAUUUGAUUUGGAUUUGGGAGUUAAAACUCGUGCUUAUAUAUAUGCUUUUGUUUAGAUUUUCUUGUACAACUAAAGUCAACCAAAAUUAAAUAAAAUAAUAUUUAACACUUCUAAAUCAAUUCAAAUUUUACCUUAUAUAAAUUAGAGUCCUAUUUAAGGAGUAAUAUUUUGGAUCAAACUUUACAAAAACAUAGUUUUGCAUAUAUUUUUUGCUUAAUUUAAUAAUUUUGAUUCAAGUUUUCUUCUUACAAUCAUUAUUAUCAUCUACUUUCUCUUGUUUUUUCUUUCAGUUUAUUUUGUUUGAUAGGACAAUUACAACUUACCUUCAACUGCUGAUCCUUUGAAAUGUACAUAUGUAUAUGUCCUUUGAAAAUAUUGUUUGGUUCCUCACAUAGCCAAAUUAGAGAUAAAAGAGCUAAGAGGUUUUUUUUUUUUACAAUUCUGUCAUCGUAAAAUUUAUUUGAGUAGAAAUAUGACAGAACCAGGUAAGAAUUAGUUAUACUAAAUGGCUCAUGCAUAAAGUCCUUUAUAUACUAGUAGGAGCAGUAGUUUUUGAUUAAGAGUCAUAAUUGAUCUAUGCUUCGUAUUGAAUAUUGAAGUUUUAAAUUUUUUGCAUUGUUCUUAUUUACUUAUUUUUAGUGAGUUAUAACUUAUUUUAGUCAGUAAGUUCUCUUUGAUUCUCUUGUGUUGUAUUCUAUAAUUUUUUUCUUUAACAAUGAACAAACGUCUUCUGUGGAAAGUUGGACAAUACGCUAUUUCUUUGGUCAUUAUUUGAUUAAUUUUUUGAAAUUAUAGAUUAUUGUAUGGAGUAGACAUGAAAUUAAUAUAUACCCACAUGAAGACAUCUCUAUAUCAAGUUCGUUUGUUUAAUCUGUCAUUUAGUUAAAUUUGAAGUUGUAAAAUUUCAUUGUGUUAACUCUUACAUGUUCAUAGUUAGUAUGACGGGAUUUUGUCAUUGGUGGUGAACAUUUAGAGGAAGAGGUACAUGGAGAAAUGAGUGUUUGAUAGCUCAAUUUAAAGAUGUGUUUGAUUCAUUACGAGGUCACUUCUAUUCUAUUCUUCUUCUUCUUCCUUUUUUUCUUGGGUCAUCUUCUUAAUUUCGCUCUAAGCUAUUAAAUUAUGUCAACUAAUUCGUUGAGUAAAAAUGAUAACAGAAAAGAUAUUUUGAUGAAUACAACUAAGAAGAAUAAUCUGGAUCAUACGCGUGACUUGCGAGCUACCAAUAUAAGAGUCUUUUGAGCCUUAAAAUUCUUUCAUGUUUAUUUCUCUUAUAUGAUUCAUUAUUUGAAUUUAACUUUUAAAAGUAUAUAUAAAUUUAAAGAUUAUUUUUUAUUGAUGGUUAUUAAGGACAUAUCAAACAAGUAUUCAAUGUAAUUGUAAUAGCUUCAUUUUAGAAGUCACAAUUAUGACUUUGGAAACUUUAUAAUGUAGUAAGAUGCUAUAUUAGUUGCUUUAAUUGUGUUUAUAGCUAAAAAUCAACAUGUCAAGGGUUUUCCUCUUUUAAUAAUUUCUCAUGUAUUUUCUUUAAUUAAAAUAUUUUGAUCGAAAAAUUUGACGUGAUACACGUACAUUAAACUAGUUUCAUCUAAUAAUAGGAAACUAAUAUUAUUAUAGCAUAAAAUUUUAAACCGAAUUUGAAAAGGUUAAGUUCCAAAUACGAAUCCAAUUAGAAUUAGGAUUAGGUUCAGUUCUGCCCUUCUAUAUAUUGCUGUCCAUUAUUAUUAUAUCAACUUCCUAAUACACCUACAAAUCACAAAUAUACAUACAUGGCUGCCUCAACAAAAUUAGCAGUCGUCUUGGUGAUUCUCUCUCUGUUUUGCAUCGGUACACACGCUUUGAAAGGAUGUCCGUUUAAAGCCCUGAACCAGCGACAUUGGAAUUCAAUCUCAAUUGAUCAUCGUCAACAACUUUCAAUUCAUGUCAACAACAAUACACGGAUAGUAAUUGGAGAAACACCUCACGAUAUCGACUUCUUUACCCGACAUGAUCAAUGGCUCAAAAAUCAAGUUAUCACGAUGGAGAAAGAGAAAAGUACCGAUAACAAUGACUACAACAAUUUCUACAUAGUAGGAUUCAUCUUUGUUGUUAUUCUUGCGAUUAUCAAUCUACUUCGUGUUGAUCAUGCCGCUCAUCACGCUCCAAGGGAAUGUCCGUUUAAAUCCAUGUAUCGUAAGUAUGGAAGAUCUAUGAUGUCAAGUAGUACUACUCUUGGAGUAAUUGGGGAAACACAUCAUGAUCAUAGCACCUUAUUCGAUCAACAUCAAUGGCUCAAAAAUCACGUUAGAAUGAUGCAGAAAAAGAUGUAAUUUAUGACCUACAAGAUCUUUUAUAGCAUAGACAUUGAAGCAAUGAUCAGAUGAGGUACUUUAUUGGUGGCUAUAAACAUAGUAAUAUGUAUUGUAGUAGAUGUUGGUCUAAGUCGUUCUAAUUGUGACAAUAGAAUCAUAUUACCUACUUAUUGGUUUAUCUAUAUAUGUUUUCUUAGUUUUGUUGUCAGCUUGUACAUACUCGUUUUCCUAAAUUUUCACAUGCUCCAGUUUGAAUGUAAACUAAGAUAUGUGGGCUAAUUGAUUAUAUGUUUGGUUGUGGUUACUCCAAAAAUCUUCACUAGGAUGUUGUGCCGUGUAUUUUUAUCCUCUCAGAAUCGUUGUGUCUUAUGUCUUGUUAUCAGCUUGUACAAACUCGUUUAUAUGAAAUAAUUCGUAUUUAUUGAAAAAACUAUGAGAAUUAAUUCAAAUUUGUCCAUAAAUCGUACGUUAAUGGUAUACAGUUUAGAUGCAACUUUGAACCAUCAUAUAUAAUUUAGAACAAAUUUGGACCUUUACCAUGCCGUAGUAAUUAAAAAAAACAAGAAGAAAAAAUUUCAAACAAACGAAAUGGGGGAAAAGAGAGACAAUUAGGAAUGGGCUUCACCACGAAGGGUGGUUGGGAAACAAAUUAUUUCCGAAUUAGUUAUCCCCAAAUUAUUAUCUUUUGAUUAUUUAUUUUGGGAUUGCUAUUUCACUCUCAAGGUGAGAUAAAAAUAACACCACAAUCUCCGGAUAAGUUAUUCCAUGAUUUUAUCUCAAUCAAAUAUGAAAUAAACUCAUCCUAAAAUUAAUUUCGAGAUUAGUUAUUCAUUGUUCCUCCUACCAAACGAGUUCUAAAGGUUGUGGUGGAGUUGUAACUAGUAAGUACUUGUUUAUUCUUAAAUAAAUGUCUCAUAUUUGAGCCCUAAACAUGAAGUCGUGCUUUACUCUAUUUCUAACACAAUUUUAAAUAAAUCAAACCUCAAAACAUCCGAUCUGGAUAAGAGAAAAAAAAAGAGAGUAGGAACAGGAAUCACAUGGGUAUACACUACUCCCUUCGUCUCAUUUUGUAUGACACACUUUUCUUUUUGAUUGUUCAGACAAAGAAUGAUGCAUUUUUUUAUUUGGUAACUAUUUAAGACGUAGUUUUUUUAUCCUUAUUGAUUCCUCUUAAUUUUAUUCCUUCUCUUUUUUACCUUUUUUUUAAAAAAGAACAAUUUGAUAAAAUUCACAAAAUUUUUAUUUAUUUUUUAAACUCCGUGUAACAACUCAAGUUACUAAUACAAGAAUAGCAAGUAUUAUAACCUUUACUUAUUUUUAAAACUCUGUGUAGCAACUCAAGUUACUAAUACAUGAAUAAAGGUAUUAUAAUCAGCUUCAUGUUAGGGGUUUUAUCUUUUCAACUCAGCUAUGUCCUUCAUCCGAAGACAUGAUGGACAACUACCCUUAUUUGUUCACUUCUAACAAUGAUUCAGUAAGAGUAAUAGAUCUCUCUCCUAGCAUUACGCUCUUCAAAUUUCAUGUCUAAAUUGUUCCAUAUGAUUCCUAUGUAUGUGUUCAUGUUCCAUAUGUACCAGUUGAGUCAGUACUCUGUCAAAAGGGUGAUUCCAGAUAUGAAACAUGAUCAAUUUUAGAAAUUCAGUUUUAUUUUAACUUUAGAAACACCUCUGACAGAAAUGUAAGGUAAGGUUGCACACAAUACACUCUUGUGGUGGGGUCUUUCCCUGGACCCUGCACAUAGCAGGAGUUUUAUUGCACCAAAAUGCUAUUUUUUUUAGUAACUACAUUCUUUUCAUCCUAAUAUCAAUCUUCAUCAUAGGAAGGAUGACCCAGGGGAGAGAUAUUAUAAUACUCCCAAAGUUCAUGCAAGUUCUUAGUGGGUUACUAUGUGUUUUAGGGUUAUGAGAAGUCCCUAACACAUAUAUAGUUAAAUUGUAAACUCCUCUUUCGGCCAAGUUUUAGUGUGAGGUUAUUUUUGAGUCAAAUUCAAACAAUCAUUACUCCUUUAAUAUGAAAGAUUUUGCAGCGUAAAACCCACCAAACAAAAGAUCUUUGAUUCUUGUUUUCAAUGCAUUUGAUUUCUCCUUAAUCUGAUAUCGGAGUAGAAAGUUAUGCUCAUUUUACCUGAAGGUGUUUGUUUGCCAGAGAUUGACGACCUGAGUUGACGAAUUGUCAACGAGUUGACGAACCGUUAACCUUAACUAGUAAAGCUUAAAAUCGGCUAGACAUUGACGACCUAAGUUGAGAAGCCAUCAACAGGUUGACGGACCAUCAACCAAGUCGUCAGAUAGGAAGUUUCUGCAGUUUUUUUAGUUUCCUUUGGGGUAAUGGUCCUUUCCUUACCCCAAAAUCUUUCCCCACGACUUAAAUCACUCGAUAAAUGUUAUUUACUUAGCAAUUUAAUAAGUUUUCAUCGCUUUUUAUCCUCUCCACUCUCACGAGAAAUGAAAUUAGUCUUUUUUCCAAAGUUUAACUUUUGAGGCUCCAAACUCAAAGUUUCUUUUAAGAAAUUUGGGUAUGUGAGGUUUGAACAAGGGUUUCCUUUCCCCCUUGUGCCCAAAAAUGUUAUUUUUUUUUAUAAUUAAGUUUAUGGAUUUGCUUAAUAAGGUUCAUAUCCACUUUACAUGAUUUAAAAUUAUGGUGCUCUCUUUUGAAUGAAAUUGUAUUUAUUAUGAAAAUUCACAAUUUACUCAUGAUUUUACUUGUAUGGUCGAGCUCGUGAAGUGAAUUUUAUUUUUUUUUGACAUGAAAUACCAUAAGUUGGUAAAUGCAUAUGAUUUUAGCACGAUUACUUAGUUUACAAGAAAUUUAGACUUAUGAUUUUAGAUUCAGAAUGAAACUGACAUUUGUACUUAUGAUUAUGAAAUAGAAACGGAAGCAUAUUAUGGUUUUAAAAUUUAUCAGAUUAUAUGCUUAUAUGAUAGUGAAUUUCAUUUAUUUUAUUCGCAAUUGUAUGAAUUUGAGAGUAGUAACUAGCACCGAGGGGUGAGGGUUUAGCGUAUUAUAGUCCCAUAAACUAUGUACCACCGUAGGUAUUCAUUAUUCUACUUGUCCAAAUAGGCACGUACAGGUGAUCACAUUUAUACGCCUUUAUAUAGUGACAAGGUAUAUCAAGUCCUUUCUAUGAGGGAGUUAACAUCGGACUCUAUGUUACUCGCAUGGUUUAUGUCGGUUAAGAGACUCUUCUAUAGAAAUAUUAAUUUGGAAACUAAAUGUAAUGACUUACUGACCUUACUAGAUUAUAAUACCCCGUGUAUAAAAGCUACUGUACAAUGUACAAAUUAUCUUUUUAAGUCAUAUAAACAACAUAUGAGUCGUAUGUUGGAGUCGUACCUAUGGCAGUGUGGAAUAGUUGAAGUAUGUUAUAGAUACGAGUUGAUCCUAGAAGUCGUCAUGACAUGGUACGACUUUUAUAAAGUUGAGUCGUAAGGGUAACAACCUAAGUUCUCUAAGCUUUUGUCCAAGUUACUAAUGGUGGAUACAAGUCGUAUUGAGAGGUUACUAGUCAUAGGUUAGACUCGUAUGUUGACCAGUGUAUACCAUCUUUGAUCCUGCCAAGCUCACAAGUCAUGUGGCUAACUCGUAUCUUCAUCAUAUAAGUCGUAUGGUUGACUCGUCACGACUGGCGGUCAAUUUAUGUAAUGUUUAGUUAAGGGGCCUUUUGAUCUUUUCCCCUCUUAUAACCCCAACCCACGACUUAUAACCUAAAAAUGAGCGUUAUUUUCCUCUACAUUCAACCAAUUUACAACCCUUUCCUCUUUCUAUCUUCAAAAUCCUCAAGAUUAGGGUUUCUCUCACCAAGUCACCUUUCAAGUUUCAAAGUUCAAGCUCUCUUCACAAGUCAAACAAUUCCAGGUAUGUGGGGUUUAUGAAGAAGGCUAUUCUUUCAUUCUUGUGCCCUAAAAGCAUGAUUUUUAAGAGUGAAUUUACUUAUUUUGAAUUACGGUUCAUACCCAAAUAACCAUAUUCUUAAAGUAUGACAUUAUCAUGUGAUAGAAAUAUUUAAUUGUAUCAAGGUUUACAUAUAUUCAUGUCUUGACUUGUAAGAUUUAUAAUGUGAUUUGAAAUUCAUUAUAUAAACUGGGAUGUUGUUGAAAGAUUUCAAGGUGAUUAAUGAGCAUAAUAUUUUGUUAUGAAUUUCUAUGAAAUAAAGCAUGAACUCCAAGUCCUAAGUACAAGUACUGAGUUUAUAACAAGUUUAUGCUCUUAAGCUCCAUUGAUAUAUUCUAUAACAUGAUUUAAAGAAAAGCUUGAUAUUUUGAUCUAAACAUAAGACAUAAAAUCACAAGUGUUCAUCUUGAUUAUGAUUUAAAGUAAAGAGAAGCAUAACUGGUUUUUAGUUUACAAACCCACAUGCUAUUUUAAGGUGGAUUUCCUAAGUAUGAGCAUAUACAUAAUUUGGGAGUAGUAGCACUGAGAAGGAAAUGCGGAUGAGUAUAACCUAAAUUCCUAAGAACUACGAGCCUCUGUAGGUUAAGCUCUUUCCCAAUAUGGAUGAAGUAUAGUUAUCACUUAAGUUAAGGUUCUAUUCUGAUGGCAAGGGUAGAACUGCUCUCCCUAACGUGGGUAAGACGUUGGACUUCAUGAUAGCUCGCAUUGUUUAUGUCGGUUAGAAGAAUCUCCCAUAAUAAAGAAUAAGGGUAAAGAUUUCUGAACCUAAGUGUUAUGGCUCACUAAGUUUACUCUUAUGCAUCAUUAUCCAUGUUUUAUGGUCUUGCAGUCUUUAGUUUUACUCAAGUUCAAUGUGAGUCAUUUACACUUAGCAUGCAUUAUUUGAAAUCUUACAGAUAUAUUCAGUUCUUGUUUUACUUUGCAUUAACCCCCACAUACUCAGUACAUUCUAGAUGUACUGACCCACAUAUAUGUCUAUGUGCUACAUCGUCUUAUAAUGUAGUUUCUGGUGCUCAUUUUCUGCAGCACGAUUGACUACGACAUCAUUACCUACAUCCCAACUUUUGGUGAGUCCUCAUAGUCCGAGGACCCAGCUUAUUAGAAUUUUAUUCAUUGAUGCAAGUAGUUUAGUUAUUUGAUUUCAUUUAUGUUCGGGUCAGCUAGGGUAUGUCCCAGUGGCUCUCUAGUUGGGUAGUAGAUACUUGUCAGACUGUGUAUUUUCUAAGUUCAAAGAGUUGGUUAAUGUUAUCAAUGUUAAAGAUUUAUAUUAAGUUUUGGAAUUGAUUAUCUUCGGUCCAUAUUCAUAUAAGGGUCAACCAUUCAUGCGAGGUGUAAGCUGAAUAGGUAUCAUGGGUUAGCUUAGGGCUAUUCGUAGUCUUGAGCACCCUAUGACGUCUAGGGGUUACUUUCGGGACAUUACAAACUUGGUAUCAGAGCUUAAUAUUUAAAAAGUCCUAGGGAGUCAGACAAGCCGCGUUAUGUAGAUUCUUGAUCAUGAAUGUGAGGCACACCAUAUUUAUGAGCGAGAGGCUACAGAACGAGUUAGGAAUCAUCAUUUCUUUCAUAAUCUAUCGUACUCAUAGUUGUCUCUAUCUGCCUUAACUCAUGCUUUUACGUGACAGAAUAUGCCUUCUCGUCAAGCCAACAAAUGUAAAAAUAGUGAUCAACCACCCCUGCACGCAGUCCCUCUGAAUAAGAAUGUAUCUCAUGCUUAAUUUUGGGUUGCCUUUCAGGCAUUGGCCUAAGCUGUAAGUGCUAAUGUUCAGGGAAAUCACGAGGCAACAAUCCCACUUCAGCAAAAUAGUAACCUAGCUGUAUCCCGAAUUCGGGACUUUAUGAGGAUGAAUCCACUUGAGUUCCAUAGAUCAAAGAUGGAUGAGGAUCCUCAACUCUUUAUUGAUAAGGUGAGAAAUAUUACUCAGAUCAUGCAUGUUACUAAAGAGGAGAGUGUAGAGCUGGUAUCCUAUAGGCUAAAUGAUAUUGCUUAUGAUUGGGUCACUAUGUGGAAGGAUGGUUGGGGUAAGAAUGCAGCUCCUAUGAGUUGGCAGGUAUUUCAAAAUGCUUUUUUUUGACAGGUUCUUUCCUCGUAUGAUGAGAGAGGCUAAAGUAGAGGA
rnacentral:lncRNA from 1 species